rnacentral:rRNA from 1 species
GACGAACGCUGGCGGCGUGCUUAACACAUGCAAGUCGAACGAAGUGGCGAACGGGUGAGUAAUACGUGGGUAACCUGCCCUCCUUUUUGGGAUAAGCCUUGGAAACGGGGUCUAAUACCGAAUAAAGGGGGGUGGGCUAGCGGCCUAUCAGCUUGUUGGUGGGGUGAUGGCCUACCAAGGCGGUGUCGGGUAGCCGGCCUGAGAGGGUGACCGGCAACGUUGGAACGGAGAGACGGCUCAGACUCCUACGGGAGGCAGCAGUGGGUGAUAUGGCACAAUGGGGGAGAGCCCGAUGCAGCGAUGCCGCGUGGGGUUUGAGGUCUUUCGGGUUGUAAACCUCUGUCGCAAUCGAAGGGGUAGGUGGAGAAGAAGCGCCGGCUAACUACGUGCCAGCAGCCGCGGUAAUAC